rnacentral:rRNA from 1 species
UACGUAGGGGGCGAGCGUUGUCCGGAGUUACUGGGCGUAAAGCGUGCGUAGGUGGUUUGUUAAGUCUGUUGUGAAAGCCCCGGGCUCAACCUGGGAAUGGCAAUGGAUACUGGCAGGCUAGAGUGCGGUAGAGGGUAGUGGAAUUCCCGGUGUAGCGGUGAAAUGCGUAGAGAUCGGGAGGAACACCAGUGGCGAAGGCGGCUACCUGGACCAGCACUGACACUGAGGCACGAAAGCGUGGGGAGCAAACAGG